rnacentral:rRNA from 1 species
UACGGAGGGAGCUAGCGUUAUUCGGAAUUACUGGGCGUAAAGCGCACGUAGGCGGCUUUGUAAGUUAGAGGUGAAAGCCUGGAGCUCAACUCCAGAAUUGCCUUUAAGACUGCAUCGCUUGAAUCCAGGAGAGGUGAGUGGAAUUCCGAGUGUAGAGGUAGAAAUUCGUAGAUAUUCGGAAGAACACCAGUGGCGAAGGCGGCUCACUGGACUGGUAUUGACGCUGAGGUGCGAAAGCGUGGGGAGCAAACAGGG